rnacentral:rRNA from 1 species
AUUGAACGCUGGCGGCAGGCCUAACACAUGCAAGUCGAGCGGAUGAAGGGAGCUUGCUCCUGGAUUCAGCGGCGGACGGGUGAGUAAUGCCUAGGAAUCUGCCUGGUAGUGGGGGAUAACGUCCGGAAACGGGCGCUAAUACCGCAUACGUCCUGAAGGAGAAAGUGGGGGAUCUUCGGACCUCACGCUAUCAGAUGAGCCUAGGUCGGAUUAGCUAGUUGGUGGGGUAAAGGCUUACCAAGGCGACGAUCCGUAACUGGUCUGAGAGGAUGAUCAGUCACACUGGAACUGAGACACGGUCCAGACUCCUACGGGAGGCAGCAGUGGGGAAUAUUGGACAAUGGGCGAAAGCCUGAUCCAGCCAUGCCGCGUGUGUGAAGAAGGUCUUCGGAUUGUAAAGCACUUUAAGUUGGGAGGAAGGGCAGUAAGUUAAUACCUUGCUGUUUUGACGUUACCAACAGAAUAAGCACCGGCUAACUUCGUG